rnacentral:rRNA from 1 species
CGUAGCGAAAGUUACGCUAAUACCGCAUACGAUCUAUGGAUGAAAGCAGGGGACCUUCGGGCCUUGUGCUCCUGGAGCGGCCGAUAUCUGAUUAGCUAGUAGGUAGGGUAAAGGCCUACCUAGGCGACGAUCAGUAGCUGGUCUGAGAGGACGACCAGCCACACUGGAACUGAGACACGGUCCAGACUCCUACGGGAGGCAGCAGUGGGGAAUUUUGGACAACGGGCGCAAGCCUGAUCCAGCAAUGCCGCGUGAGUGAAGAAGGCCUUCGGGUUGUAAAGCUCUUUUGUCAGGGAAGAAACGGGAGUGGCUAAUAUCCAUUCUUAAUGACGGUACCUGAAGAAUAAGCACCGGCUAACUACGUGCCAGCAGCCGCGGUAAUACGUAGGGUGCAAGCGUUAAUCGGAAUUACUGGGCGUAAAGCGUGCGCAGGCGGUUUUGUAAGUCUGACGUGAAAUCCCCGGGCUCAACCUGGGAAUUGCGUUGGAGACUGCAAGGCUAGAAUCUGGCAGAGGGGGGUAGAAUUCCACGUGUAGCAGUGAAAUGCGUAGAGAUGUGGAGGAACACCGAUGGCGAAGGCAGCCCCCUGGGUCAAGAUUGACGCUCAUGCACGAAAGCGUGGGGAGCAAACAGGAUUAGAUACCCUGGUAGUCCACGCCCUAAACGAUGUCUACUAGUUGUCGGGUUUUAAUUAACUUGGUAACGCAGCUAACGCGUGAAGUAGACCGCCUGGGGAGUACGGUCGCAAGAUUAAAACUCAAAGGAAUUGACGGGGACCCGCACAAGCGGUGGGAUGAUGUGGAUUAAUUCGAUGCACGCGAAAACCUUACCUACCCUUGACAUGUCAGGAAUCCCGAAGAGAUUGGUAGUGCCCGAAAGGGAACUGGACACAGGUGCUGCAUGGCUGUCGUCAGCUCGUGUCGCGAGAUGUUGGGUUAAGUCCCGCAACGAGCGCAACCCUUGUCAUUAGUAGCUACAUUAGUUAGGGCACUCUAUGAGACUGCCCGUGACAACGG